rnacentral:lncRNA from 1 species
AACAUAGCUGUCAGCUGUGGUUUUAUUCUGUGGAAGGCUAAAAGCCAUCCUAUUUAAUAAUUUUAAUUCAUUUUUGCCCAAAGAUCCAUUUGUGAUAGUUUCCUUUUAAAUUUUAAGAUAUUGAAUAUUAUUCUUCUGACUGAUGCUAUUAUCUGCUGUCACGUAGAUGGCGUAGCCUAGGAAACACGAAGCCAGCCCGGACCAUAUCAUGUCUGUGCUUUCUUCUUGUUCUGUCUCUGACUUAUUUUAUGAAAACUGACAGGUUUUGGGGAAGCCAUUCAUCCCUAGAGUCUGCCUGCGCUGAUGCUCUGAGUCUGUUGGGUUCCCAGAGAGUGAAGGCAGAUUAA